GGGGAUUUAGCUCAGUGGCAUAAGCACCUGCCUUGCAAGCAGGCAGUCUGAGUUUGAUCCCCA
rfam:Cavia porcellus supercont2_11 genomic scaffold, whole genome shotgun sequence.